rnacentral:rRNA from 1 species
GACGAACGCUGGCGGCGUGCUUAACACAUGCAAGUCGAGCGGUAAGGCUCCUUCGGGAGUACACGAGCGGCGAACGGGUGAGUAACACGUGAGUAAUCUGCCCUUCACUUCGGGAUAACCACCGGAAACGGUGGCUAAUACCGAAUACGACCAGUCUUCGCAUGAGGUGCUGGUGGAAAGUCUUUUCGGUGAAGGAUGUGCUCGCGGCCUAUCAGCUUGUUGGUGGGGUAAUGGCCUACCAAGGCUUCGACGGGUAGCCGGCCUGAGGGGGUGACCGGCCGAACUGGGACUGAGACACGGCCCAGACUCCUACGGGAGGCAGCAGUGGGGAAUAUUGGACAAUGGGCGAAAGCCUGAUCCAGCAACGCCGCGUGAGGGAUGACGGCCUUCGGGUUGUAAACCUCUUUCAGUACCGACGAAGCGCCCUGUCGGGUGGUGACGGUAGGUACAGAAGAAGGACCGGCCAACUACGUG